AACGAACGCUGGCGGCAUGCCUAACACAUGCAAGUCGAACGAGACCUUCGGGUCUAGUGGCGCACGGGUGCGUAACGCGUGGGAACCUGCCCUUAGGUUCGGAAUAACUCCCCGAAAGGGGUGCUAAUACCGGAUAAUGUCUUCGGACCAAAGAUUUAUCGCCUUUGGAUGGGCCCGCGUUGGAUUAGCUAGUUGGUAGGGUAAAAGCCUACCAAGGCGACGAUCCAUAGCUGGUCUGAGAGGAUGAUCAGCCACACUGGGACUGAGACACGGCCCAGACUCCUACGGGAGGCAGCAGUGGGGAAUAUUGGACAAUGGGCGAAAGCCUGAUAAAGCAAUGCCGCGUGAGUGAUGAAGGCCUUAGGGUUGUAAAGCUCUUUUACCCGGGAUGAUAAUGACAGUACCGGGAGAAUAAGCACCGGCUAACUCCGUG
rnacentral:rRNA from 1 species